UCAAACUACUAGCGCCCCUCUCGCCCACCCUCUCUCCCUCGCUGGUCGUCAACUUCUUCCCCAUGAAAGAAACCAGAUCCAAUGCCAUGAACCAGAUCCUGUAGAGCUGCCAUGGCAAAGCAGCCAAGGUGAGGAGAUCUUGGUCAGAAAAACAGGAAGAAGAGAAGAGAAGCUUACCAAGCAACGCCAAGGUAAGAAAUCCUUCUCCUCUCCCAUGUCCAAACCUUGUUGACUAUCCCCCUUGUCCUUUCCCUCUGAAUCUCCCAAAUCAAGUAAAAAAAAACUCCAUGAUUUUGAGCAGAGAAGGAAGAUCAAGUAAAAGCAUAAGAAAUUCAGUUCCCUGUGCAAGAAAACCAUUGUUUGAAACCAACUUUCACAUGGAUGUCUGCAAACAAACAUAUCCAGGGGUGAAAAAAAUGCAUCAGGUAUCCAGAGUAUUAUAGCCAACUAAAACAGGUAUUCUAUCCAACUCAAACAUCAGGUAUCCAGAGUAGUCUCCAUCAGGUAGCCAGCUUGUGACUAUCGUUCAACAUUAUCUGCUUCAUUACUCUCAUUUCCUUGAACAACAUCUCGCGGUUUGCAAAAAAAAGGCAAAGGUGAUUAGUUAUCAUUACAUACAAAUAUUUGUUCUCUGGAAAACUAGAUUAAAAUGUUGAGGAUGGCAACUUGAUAUCCUGUUUGUUCUGCAACUAGAAAUGCUGGUGAUGACAACUAAUGAGAUAUUCUUGUGCGACUAGAAAUGCUGAUGAUGCCAACUAAUGAGAUAUUCUUGUGCAACUAGAGAGGCUGAGGAUGACAACUACUUGAAUAAUGUUGUCCAACUAGAAUUGUAGAGGGUGCCAACUAAAUAGAUACUCUUCUGCAACUAGAAAUCCUGAGGGUGCCAAGUGAUUAGAUACCGUUGGGCAAUCCUCAAAAAUUUUAAGAUGGGAUAAAUCUGAAUUCUUAUGCAACUAGAGAGGCUGAGGAUUUCAACUACUUGGAUAAUGUUGUCCAACUAGAAUUGCCGAGGGUGCCAACUAAAUAGAUACUCUUCUGCAACUAGAAAGCCUGAGGGUGCCAAGUCGUUACAUACUGUAGGGAAAUCCUCAAUUUUUUUAAGAUGGGACUAAUCUGAGUUUUUGUGCAACUAGAAAAGAUGAGGAUGUCAACUAGUUAUAUAUUGUUGUGCAACUAGAAUUACUGAGGUUGCCAACUAAUUAGAUACUAUUCUGCAACUAGAAAGCCUGAGGAUGCCAAGUCGUUACAUACUCUUGGGACAAUUCUAAAAAACUUGAAGAUGGCAACGUUGAGCAACUGAGAAAGUUGAGCAUGCCAAUGCUUAAUUAGUCCUUCUGCAAUCAUGUAUGAAAAUUCAUACACUUGGCUGCCUGUAUGUGGAGUAAAAAAUAUUCCUGAUGGAACUUUAUGUUACCACAGCGGCUGCUGCAGAAGAUGUGGCAUCUACCCCUUUGGAUACUGCCUCCGCGCGCACCUUUCUUCUCUGCAGUUUUACUAAGAGGAAUCUUUCGCCACCGUGAAGUUUUGACUAGCAGAUUCUGUGCAACUACUUCUAUUGCCCCUGCCAACUACUUCUAAUGACCGUGUCCAACUGAAAACAACUAUGUGUGCAACUAGAACUAUUAUAGAUGCCAACAAAAAAUGAUUGCCGUGUGUGCAACUUUCCAAUGACCGUAUCCAACUGAAAACAACUAUGUGUGCAACUAGAACUACUAUAGAUGCCACCCAAAAAUGAUCGCCGUGUGUGCAACUUUCCAAUGAUCGUGUCCAACUGAAAACAACUAUGUGUACAACUAGAACUACUGUAGAUGCCAACAAAAAAUGAUCACCGUGUGUGUAACUUCCGAAUGACCAUAUCUAACUAAGAACAAUUAUGUGCAUAAUAUCUAGAAGUACUAUAGAUGCCAACAAAAAAUGGUCGCCGUGUGUGCAACUUUCCAAUGAUCGUAUCCAAUUGAGAACAAAUAUGUGUGCAAUUAGAACUACUAUAGAUGCUAACAAAAAUGAUCACCGUGUGUGUAACUUCCCAAUAAUCGUGUCCAACUGAAAACAAUUAUGUGUGCAACUAAAACUACUAUAGAUGCUAACAAAAAAUGAUUGCCAUGUGUGCAAUUUUUCAAUAAUAGGAUCUGUAUGUGCAACUACAACUACUAUAUUAAUGAUCGUCUCCGACGAAAACAACUAUGUGUGCAACAAGAAUUACUAUAAAUGCCAAAAAAAUGAACGCCAUGUGUAUUCAGUUCAAUGUAUACCGUUCCACUUUCACCACUGUAGGAAAAAGGUUUAGUGUUGUGCAACUUUCUAAUUGUCGUAUCCAACUGAGAACGGCUAUGUGUACAACUACAACCACUAUGGAUGCCAACUAAGAAUGUGAAGAUCAAUAUAUCUGAAAAAAGUGAUACAUACAUUCAGCAGAAACAGAGGGCAAAAAUACAAAGGAAUGAAACAGAUAAAAUUGCUGCUUACGAAUCAAUUGCUGCUUCUUCUGCUUCUACACGGAGAUAUAUUGGCUGUGAGGAUCGAGCAACUACUUUGCUUUGCAUGCUAUAACCCCGAAGGGCAUCCUCGUCGUUCAAUAGUCGUUGGCCGUCGUUGUUGCAACAGCAGUCACAUCGCGGGCGCGCGAUAGUUGGUGUUGAGUUCAGCGAGGAUGCAGGCCGAGAGCCACGCAGGUGGCCGCCGGCAAGCACCUUAACCCCACACGGCUAGCCCUUCG
rnacentral:lncRNA from 1 species